CUUCAGAACUGGGCCAGGGGCACUGCUUUGCUUUUGCUGUUUUGAUCAGCUCUCUGCCUGCAGGAGACAAGGAAAACCAAUGGGAACAGAUAGGGUCUCUCUCUCUGCCACCCAGGCCAGAGUGCAGUUGACGAAGGGCAGGGGAGCCCCGAAAUGGAGCAUAGAGUGUCUGGAACUGGUGGGUUCUUGGUCUCACUGACUUCAAGAAUGAAGCCACGGACCCUCGCGACCGUGAGAGAGAGACCGUGAGAGACAGAGACCGUGCCCUGACCUGCUGGAUGGUGGAGAUGCUCGUGGGCUGUGAGCAACAGAUGCAAA